GCGGGAGUAGCUCAGUUGGUAGAGCACAACCUUGCCAAGGUUGGGGUCGCGGGUUCGAGUCUCGUCUCCCGCU
rnacentral:tRNA from 3 species